GACGAACGCUGGCGGCGUGCCUAAUACAUGCAAGUCGAACGCUGAAGAGAGGAGCUUGCUCUUCUUGGAUGAGUUGCGAACGGGUGAGUAACGCGUAGGUAACCUGCCUUGUAGCGGGGGAUAACUAUUGGAAACGAUAGCUAAUACCGCAUAACAAUGGAUGACACAUGUCAUUUAUUUGAAAGGGGCAAUUGCUCCACUACAAGAUGGAUCUGCGUUGUAUUAGCUAGUAGGUGAGGUAACGGCUCACCUAGGCGACGAUACAUAGCCGACCUGAGAGGGUGAUCGGCCACACUGGGACUGAGACACGGCCCAGACUCCUACGGGAGGCAGCAGUAGGGAAUCUUCGGCAAUGGGGGCAACCCUGACCGAGCAACGCCGCGUGAGUGAAGAAGGUUUUCGGAUCGUAAAGCUCUGUUGUAAGUCAAGAACGAGUGUGAGAGUGGAAAGUUCACACUGUGACGGUAGCUUACCAGAAAGGGACGGCUAACUACGUG
rnacentral:rRNA from 1 species